CAAUUUCCACUCUCUCUUGAGGGGCUGGCAAUAAAGGGUUUCCCUAAUUUAUAGAUUCUUCCAAAUUUAGACAACCUCACUUCUCUCCGUUGUUUGGAGAUUGUAAAGUGGCCAAAGUUAAAAUAUCUACCGACGAGACUACACUGCCUCCCGCGCUUGAAGGAUUUGAGCAUCGGUGUGGAGACUUUGACGGAGUGGAGACUUUGACCAGCCUGCAAUUCCCACUCUCUCUUCAGACGCUGAGAUUACAAUGUUUCCCUAAUUUACAGAUUCUUCCAAGCUUAGACAACCUCAAUUCUCUCAGUCUUUUGAUUAUCGGUGGGUUCUGGGGGGAGCUCGAUUCCUUCCCUGAUUUUCAAGUUGGAUCAUUAAUGCACCUGACCAUUUUACAUUUGAUCGGUUGGCCGAAGCUCAAGUAUCUGCCUAAACAAAUUCAACACCUCACUUCCCUAACAUCAUUGUGGGUAAUUUUUUUUUUGGACAAACUGCAAUACUUUUCCAUUAAACAAAGAGACUAAUACAAGGAAAAGAUAGCCCAAAAACAUCUCACAACUGAAAUACAAGCCCAGCGGGAAAGAGCAAAUACAGCACAAAGCCCAAAAGGCAUAGCAAAAAAGUAACAGAAACCCUAAAAAUAAAGAGGAAACCAGCAUCCACCACCAAAUCUUACGCGCCUCCAUCGGAAAGCCACCACCACCAAAAAUCGAACCAAAAGCAGCAACCGGAUCAACGGAAAAUGGGGGUGAGUGAGCCACCCGCGCUGUGAGCAGCGCUCCCAUAAUCCUACUAAAUAGUGCACAAAGCACUUUAACAGUCACCAAAAACCCAAGCACGUCACCGAGGAGAAGCACCCGGGGUUGAGUAGCAGUGGUUGGUAGUUGUGGACUCACGAUGGAAGGAAACAUCGGAGCAGGAGAGGUGUCUACAGAAUGGUUGGGUAAUUGAAUUUGAAGGAGUGGAGACUUUGCCAGAAUGGUUGGGUAGCCUUACAUCCCUUACAUAUCUGAUAAUUAAAGAUUGCAAGAAUCUGAUGAAUUUGCCUAGUGUCCAAGCUAUGCAAUGCCUCACCAAAUUACGCACACUGCGGAUUUAUAAUUGUCAUCCCUUUCUAAAGCAAAGAUGCACCAAGAACAGUGGCACAGAUUGGCCUAAAAUUUCUCACAUUCCAGAUAUCACAAUUGACUGAGUCUCACAUCAGUUGGAUGGAAGGUAGGCAGCACCUUACCAAACUACAACAAAUUUGUAUUCGAAAAACCAAAUUUCAUGGUGUGCAAGGCCACACUUCUCCGAGAUUUCUUGUAUUCCAGUUGUAUGUACAAACGACUCCAAAUGGCUCCAACUUCCACAUUGAAAUGAAUUCGUCGGCAUCUAUAUUUCUUUUGGCAUGCUGUAGCGUUUUUCAGGAUGCUCAAUAGCUGCAAAUUGAGUACAGGUACUGAUGCACAAGAUAUAAAGUUUCUCGCUCAACCUUCAUUUCUCAAUGAUAAACCUCAAGUUAUACUACUUAUCAAGGCAGAAUUGGGAGUCUGGUAGAAACUCUUGACCGAACAUUCCUAAUUUAGACAAACUGGGAAGCGCUCAUCCCUUUAAUUACACUGGAUCAACAUUCUUUGUUCGAUACUUAUCAGUUUGAAGGCUCGGCUCUCCAUCCUAUUCCCAAUAAGUGGUGAGUUGUGGGCUACAAAUUAAUGCAAGUCUCUACUUGAGGGAGUAGAGGCUUUGCCAGAUCAGCAGAACUGGGAUGCCAUUCAAAACUUGUGCGUGGAUCAGUAUCAUUCUUCAACUUUUCCCAUCAUGCUUCCUUAUCAUCAAAUCCUAAUUUGGAUACAAAUUGAAGCUUGGGCUUCGUAGUGUCCCUUGUGCCCUGCAUUGCUGUGAAAGGCGAGUGCAAGAAGCAGCCAACUGUUGAAUAGAGGGAGAGCUUGAAAUUGAAAGUGGAAAAACUAUUGUACUACCCUAAUUGCCAAUAGUGGGUACUUUGGGUCACUCUUCCUGAUGGUGUUUGCUCAUCAUUGUCUCAACACCUUAGCAUUUUGCAGAGCUUUCUUCGUGCUGUGAAGAUAUGAAGGAAGUAGUCUAUGUUAUUUUAAGCUGAAAAUUCAAGCUGCAAACAAUUGUGUUGUGGUGGAGGACAUCGGCAUGGGCCUUGCAGUAGCCAAAGUUGCUGAAGUAUAUCGUAACCAAAAGCAGGUACAUAGCUGAAGAAGACUUUCAAAAUGCAUAUGCAAACUUUGACUUCUUUGGAGAUUCACCGGAGGAGUGAUUUUACUUGGGAACCUGCAGAAGCCUUUUGCCAAACAGUAACAGUUUAUGAAUUAAAUUAAUUCAUUCAAAGCCGGUCCUCCAUCUACAAAAUGUUGGUGAAGGGUUACAAAAUGUUGGUGAGGAGUCUCAUGAUCAUGAAAUUAUUGAAGAUGAUUUCUUGAAGGUUGAAAUUUCAUGGAGUUUUGCUUAGAGUGGUUGUAUAUGAUUUUACUUUUGAUUGUCGGGGUUUACACUCUACCCCACCCAUUGUAUGUUUUCUCAAGUAAUAUAAUUUGGGCGUGAGGGCCUAACCCCCCAGCUUCGACUGAGUUCCAGCCCUCUUUAAUUAUAUAUUUUUUUAAAAUA